AACCUAUAUACAAUUGGUCCUACUCUUGCUUCUUGAAUUCCAACAGAAUGUCAAAGUAAAAGACGAGCUUGGAAAGCUAGCACAAGCCUCCCUGGCCGAUCAGGGAAGACAGAAGACCUAAGCACUGGAAGUGACUGCUGUAGUUUUACCACCAUAAAAUAAACAGCAAAGGCAGAGGAGAUGUAUCCAGAAGGAAGACACACAUCACAAGGCAUUUGGACCCCAAGCACUGGAAAGGUUUGCCCUCAACAUCAAAUUCAGGGAACCCUAAGAAGCAGGUGCUAAUGCACAAGUCCUGAUCAUGAAGAAAAGCUAGUCAAGUCGGAAAUGGUGACUGCUAGAGAGGAGGAAAGGAACCUGGAGGAGAAGGCUUAGCCCAGAUCAAACCAGAGCUACUGCAACUUGUGGAGGAUCUGAGCUUCAGCUUCCUGCUCUCGCUGUCAUGCAUGUCUGAUGCCAGGUUUCCCUGUCUGGAUGGACUCCACCCCUCUGGAAACAGUAGCCCAAAUAAACUCU